UUUUUUAUUAUUUUUAUUUUUAGCUGAAAAGACGUAAAGGCAGUCAGCCCAGUGGUGUUUCUGGAGAGGGAUUCCUUCAGAAAUGGAGAAGACAGAAAGCUGCGGAGGCAGAUAUUUGCAGCAUGUUCGAGUGAGCAUGAUGACCACGAGUGUGUGUCGAACUUUUCAUGACCUGAUGACUGUGUUUCCCAAUCCUGAUCCUGGAGAACCCCAGCACUGCACGGUUUUGGCGUCUCUCUUAUCUGCCUUGGAGUCUUCACUGAUGAGCUGAUGAGUUGAAUCAGGAUUGUUUGAGGAUAACACUGCAGUUCUCCAUCAUGCACAAGGACUCACCUCGUUAACUCUUUAUCCCCCACACACACAGAUAUGGUCCCUGGAUCAGUGAUUAGACUUUGCAGUGGUUUGAUUUUUGCAGAAGAUGUAACUUUGUUUUAUUUAUAAGCUCAUAAUGAAUACAUUACAGAACCAGUGAUGAAAACAAUAGUUAAAAAUAGUAUUUUUCGUAUUGAUAAAGCAUUUUGUUCUCUUUUUCAAGCUUCAUACAGUGAACUUUUUAGACUUUAAUUAAGAGUUUUAGUAAAGGAGAUAUUCAUACACAGUCAUCCCCUACACUCUAAAAAACGCUGGGUUGUUUUUUCAACCCAACUGCUGGGUUGAGGCCGUUGGAUAGGACUUUGGGAUGUUUUAACCCAAGUUUGGGUUGAAAAUAACUCUCUUUUUUAACCCAGCGAGGUGGGUUGAGGACGCGGACGUGAAGGAGAGCACGCACGUCACGUCAAAAUCGUACGUCUCCAGUGCGAGCAGCCGCCAUUUUCUUAGCGUGAUAGAAGCGAGAAGCGAGUGAAAGACUAUGACUUGUCGAGCUCCUGUCUUCAUUGUCCUCGCGCUGAGAGUUAAAGACACAGAAGCUGUUUGUGUGAGGAGUCACAGACCUGUGUGAGGAUGAGGAGGAGGUGUUCUUCUGAAGAGAGGGACAGACGGUUUAAGGAGAGUAAACUUCAGAAUAACAUCAAGUUAUCUUUAUUUUUACUAAGACUAAAAUAAUGUGUGUGUUUUUUUUAGAUGUUGAAAUCCAGAGACAAGAUAACUUCAUUCUUUUAGACUGAUAACUCAAACUAACUGGAGUUAAGGACACACAAGUCUGCUUGUGUUAGGAGGUGGUUUUCUCAGCUUCUUCUGAAGAGAGGGAAAGAUCGUUUAAG